CUCCAGCCUGGAUAACAAGAGCGAAACUCCCUCUCAAAAAAAAAAAAAAAAGAAAAACUGUCAUCAGAGCCAUUUUGAAAACAAAUGCUCAACGUUUUGUGGGGGACUUUUUAUUGAUUAGCGGCCAUAAAAUCACUCACCACACUUCUUGUAAGCUGCCAUUUAAAGAAGUGUAAAAAAGUUCUGUGGUGUCUGCUGAGUGUUCUCAGUUAAUCCCUUCCAAAUUAUUAAGCCUUUAGAAUCCUCCACGACAUGUCCUCAGGAAAGACUAUUACUGAUUUGAAGAAACCCUUAAUUGCCGAAAUUAUGAAGCCUUUGUGAGUCUCAGGGUGUCCAAAAACACCAGAAUGUGGAUUUUGGUGAAAGGUGAAGAUUGUACUGAUGGAAAUGUGGGCAGGCUGGGAAGGGAGCAUACGUGGAAUAAGGAGGAAGGGAGUGAAGAGGAAAAGCUUCAAGUGAUGAAAGUUCAUGCUGAGUAAGCCAUCUUAAGGAAAAGACUAUUCAUUGACAUGCUCAAGUAACACGUCUCUCCAGCCUAACUUUAAGUAACCAUUUUCCUCUAUCACUGCUAUGUAAAUAAAAUACAUUAAGAAAUGGAGGCUUCGGAAGAC
rnacentral:lncRNA from 13 species